AUUCUGAUUGGCCUGACAUUGGUCACAUGACCACCCCUGAGCCAGUCAUCUUAGGCAGGAAGAUGGGAUGCAAUGAAUGACUGGUGGGUCAUAUGUCUUUUCCAGCAGCCUGCUGUCUCACAGGCAUCUAAGGGAAGAACACAAGCAGGCUGCAGGGAAUAGGAACUGACAGACCAGAAAUCAGAUCCUGUCUGAUAAGUCCAGCUGAACAGAAAGAGGCCCAGGCACGAAGAAAAGGGCUUCUUGCCAAAGUCACACAGGAAGACACCCAGCGAGACCUUCCCCGUGCAGAGAUGGAAAAAAAGGGGCUUGCUCCCCCUCGCAGUCUGGUGUUACACUUCCCAUAAUAUUUCUAAAUGAGCCAGCUAUAAUCCUAGCACUUGGGAGGCUGAGGCAGGGGGAGCACUGUGAGUUUGAGUCCAGCCUGAACUACGGGAUGAGACCGUCUCAAAAAACAAAAAUUCCACAAAAAUUCCAAAUGAGGUUCUGCACACACGCGGCGGACCCAGCUGAACUGGCAGAGCACUUCAAAGGCCUGCGGGUCAUUCAUCAUCCCCAUGACGCUCCAGCAAAGCUCGGCUUCAGCUCCGCGCCAGGGAUUUGUUAUGACUUGCGAGAACCGGCUGACAGACAGACAGGGACGCGGGACGCGGGCUCCGGCCCUUUCUGUCACUCUGGGCAAGGCAGCGCCCCCAUACCGACUCCAGGGUGGGGUGCAAUGGGCCCGACCAGGAGGCCGUGACAUGAUUAAUCGUUUUCUUCUGAUCUAAUUUUGGAACAUGAAAAACAGCACAUUUGUCUUGAAGAAAAAUGAUGUGCCGAACUGCGCAGAUGGAAAUUUCGAGCAAUGAGAAAGAUUAAAGUGAAACCCCACUCCUUAGACCUAAUCAUGAGUUGUAGAUUAUUCUGUCGGCCCAGCCAGAUGGUAGCUCUGAUUCCACAGCCCCUUCUUAUAUUAAUGAAUACUAGACUGUUAUAUUUGACUUAGGUAAGUGAAAUGUCUAUCAGAGCUAAUGGACUGCCAACCAGCAUAACACAUGUUGUACCGCUAAGGGUCCUGGCUGCAUUUUUCAUGUUUUAUACUAAUGUAGAACAUUUUGUUUCCUACUGUUUUUCAUCAUUGUCACUGUUUGCUAAAUAUUUUCACAUGGAAGUGGGGGGAGGGAGACGAAGUCACGAGGAA